AAUUCGUCUACCCAGAGUUUGAUCCUGGCUCAGAUUGAACGCUGGCGGCAGGCCUAACACAUGCAAGUCGAGCGGAUGAUGGGAGCUUGCUCCCGGAUUCAGCGGCGGACGGGUGAGUAAUGCCUAGGAAUCUGCCUGGUAGUGGGGGACAACGUUUCGAAAGGAACGCUAAUACCGCAUACGUCCUACGGGAGAAAGCAGGGGACCUUCGGGCCUUGCGCUAUCAGAUGAGCCUAGGUCGGAUUAGCUAGUUGGUGGGGUAAAGGCCUACCAAGGCGACGAUCCGUAACUGGUCUGAGAGGAUGAUCAGUCACACUGGAACUGAGACACGGUCCAGACUCCUACGGGAGGCAGCAGUGGGGAAUAUUGGACAAUGGGCGAAAGCCUGAUCCAGCCAUGCCGCGUGUGUGAAGAAGGUCUUCGGAUUGUAAAGCACUUUAAGUUGGGAGGAAGGGCAGUAAGUUAAUACCUUGCUGUUUUGACGUUACCAACAGAAUAAGCACCGGCUAACUUCGUGCCAGCAGCCGCGGUAAUACGAAGGGUGCAAGCGUUAAUCGGAAUUACUGGGCGUAAAGCGCGCGUAGGUGGUUUGGUAAGAUGGAUGUGAAAUCCCCGGGCUCAACCUNGGAACUGCAUCCAUAACUGCCUGACUAGAGUACGGUAGAGGGGUGGUGGAAUUUCCUGUGUAGCGGUGAAAUGCGUAGAUAUAGGAAGGAACACCAGUGGCGAAGGCGACCACCUGG
rnacentral:rRNA from 1 species